rnacentral:rRNA from 1 species
UACAGAGGCCCCAAGCGUUACUGAGAAUCACUGGGUUUAAAGGGUGCGUAGGUGGCGCGUUAAGUCCGUUGUGAAAGCCCUGGGCUCAACCCAGGAACUGCUUCGGAUACUGGCGCGCUUGAGGCUAGUAGGGGUCACUGGAACUGACGGUGGAGCGGUGAAAUGCGUAGAUAUCGUCAGGAACGCCAAUGGUGAAGACAGGUGACUGGGCUAGUUCUGACACUGAGGCACGAAAGCGUAGGGAGCGAACGGG